rnacentral:rRNA from 1 species
GCACUGAAUCCCGAAGGCCUUGCCUUCAGGGAGAUGUGGUGUUUAGGAGUGGUCAAUUAACCCGGACAGUGUGCACUGCGUUCAAGUCCAUCUUGAACGGGGCCAAAGCCCAUAGAAGGUGCGAGGCCUGUUGUUGACCGGUGCCACUUCUGGGUAGGCCUCUCCUUAGAGUCGGGCUGCUUGAGAGUGCAGCCCUAAGAGGGUGGUAAACUCCAUCUAAGGCUAAAUACAACCACGAGACCGAUAGAGAACAAGUACCGUGAGGGAAAGUUGAAAAGAACUUUGAAGAGAGAGUUCAAGAGUACGUGAAACCGCUCAGGGGUAAACGGAUGAGACCCGAAAUUCCGAAAGGGGAGAUUCACGUCUUGACGCUGGGUGUCAGCCCGCGAUUGGUGGGAUGGUCUUACGCCCUGCCCGGCUUGUCCGUGGCAGUGGGUGGGCUGCCCCCUUCGUGGUGUUGUACCCGCGGGGGACCGCACUUCUCUCCAAGUAGGACGUCGCGACCUGCUCCGCGGUGGUCGAACGGCCGGUGGAAUGCCUGGUCGGGGUUUUCCCCCUUGUGGGGUUGACUUUCCGACCAGAUCCCCGGGUCCGUGGCCGCUGGUCCGAGGGCGGUCAGAGCGACGGCGUUGGGCCGCUCCUUGUGAGCGCUUCGUCUCCUCGCAAGCCCGGGAUGGGUUGUUGGGUCGUACCCUCAGGGGUACGCCUGGGACUCUUCUGGACUGUUGGUGAGGGGUACUUGAGGCUUGGUCUAAAACGCUUGUCAGCGGCGCUCUAGCUUUGGGCACUCAUCCGACCCGUCUUGAAACACGGACCAAGGAGUCUAGCGUGUGCGCAAGUCAUUGGGUGAUAAAACCUAAAGGCGCAAUGAAAGUGUCAUGAGAUGUCUGACAUCUUUAUCUGGAAGAUGGGCUUAUCCGAACCUUUUUUUAGGUCGGAGCUCCGCACUCCAGGGGCGUUUCGUUCUCAUUUUUGAGUUGAGACGCACCAGGAGCGUACACGCUGUUACCCGAAAGAUGGUGAACUAUGCCUGGCCAGGACGAAGCCAGGGGAAACCCUGGUGGAGGUCCGAAGCGAUUCUGACGUGCAAAUCGAUCGUCUGAGCUGGGUUUAGGGGCGAAAGACCAAUCGAACCAUCUAGUAGCUGGUUCCCUCUGAAGUUUCCCUCAGGAUAGCUGGCUCUUGAAAUGAGACGAGUCUCAUCCGGUAGAGCGAAUGAUUAGAGGUGAUGGGGUCGAAACGACUUCAACCUAUUCUCAAACUCCCAAUAGAUGAGAGCCCCGGCUUGCUUGAAAGUGAAGCCGUGGGACUUGGAUCAGAGAGGCCAAGUGGGCCAAUUUUGGUAAGCAGAACUGGCGCUGUGGGAUGAACCAAACGCUGAGUUAAGGCGCCUGAUUCGACGCACAUUCGAAACCAUGAAAGGCGUUGGUUGCUUAAGACAGUGGGGCGGUGGCCAUGGAAGUCGGAAUCCGCUAAGGAGUGUGUAACAACUCACCUGCCGAAGCAACUAGCCCUGAAAAUGGAUGGCGCUGUAGCGUCGUGCCUAUACUCAGCCGUUAGAUACAAAGCGGGCGUUUCCGACAUGGAGCGUUGCCGUUACGCACUAACGAGUAAGAGGGUCGCGGCGGUGAGCGCGGAAGGGUUUGGGCGUGAGCCCACCUGGAGCCGCCGCCGGUGCAGAUCUUGGUGGUAGUAGCAAAUACUCCAGCGAGGCCCUGGAGGACUGACGUGGAGAAGGGUUUCUUGUGAACAGCUGUUGCACAAGAGUCAGUCGAUCCUAAGCCCUAGGAGAAAUCCGAAGCGAUAGUCUGCCGUUAACUCUUUACGUAGUCCGAAUUUUAUUUUGGGCUUUCAUGUGAGUCGGCAGACGUCUGGGCGAAAGGGAAUCCGGUUCCUAUUCCGGAACCCGGCAGCGGAACCGUUCCAAUUCGGGCCCUCAUCCAAGGACUCGUCGGGGUAACCCAAAAUGACCCGGAGAAUCCGUAGGGAAAUCCGGGGAGAGUUGUCUCUUCUCUGUAAGCGUUCGGGUUCCCUGGAAUCCUCUAGGAGGGAGAUAGGGAAUGGAACGCGAAGAGCACCGCACUUACGGCGGUGUCCGGAUCUUCCCGUCGGACCUUGAAAAUCCGGGCGAGGGCCACGAGGAACCCCGCGCCGGCUCGUACCCAUAUCCGCAGCAGGUCUCCAAGGUGAAUAGCCUCUAGUCGAUAGAAUAAUGUAGGUAAGGGAAGUCGGCAAAUUUGAUCCGUAACUUCGGAACAAGGAUUGGCUCUAAGGACCGUGGCGUGCCGGGCUUGGUCGGGAAGUGGAGCGGUGCCAACGUGCCGGGCCUGGGCGAGAUGAAGAGCGUUUCGGCGCUUGGACUCGAGCUCGGUCCCGUGCCUUGGCCACCCACGGAUCUUCCUUGCUGCGAGCCUCCGGGUGUCAAGUCGCUGGCCUCGUGUCAGUAGACGGUUCGGAGUGCUCUUCGGCCGCCAUAAAACGAUCAACUUAGAACUGGCAC